CCUACGGGAGGCAGCAGUGGGGAAUAUUGCACAAUGGGGGAAACCCUGAUGCAGCGACGCCGCGUGAGUGAAGAAGUAAUUCGUUAUGGAAAGCUCUAUCUGCAGGGCAGCAAAUGACGGUACCUGAGUAAGAAGCCCCGGAUAACUACGGGACAGCUGCCGCGGCAACACGGAGGGGGCAAGCGUUAUCCGGAUUUACUGGGUGUUAAGGGAGCGUAGUGGGCAGUACCAGUCUGGAGUGAAAGGCGGGUGGACAACCCCCGGUCUGCUCUGGAAACUGUACGGCUGGAGUGCAGGAGAGGUAAGUGGAAUUCGUAGUGUAGCGGUGAAAUGCGUAGAUAUUAGGAGGAACACCAGUGGCGAAGGCGGCUUACUGGACUGUAACUGACGUUGAGGCUCGAAAGCGUGGGGAGCAAACAGGAUUAGAUACCCCAGUAGUC
rnacentral:rRNA from 1 species